ACUGAGCCACCCAGGCGCCACAAACAGAGCCUAAUUCUUAAUCGAGACUGAAGCUCUUUCAUUAACAAUCAAAAAAUUAACUUGGUAUGGGUGAAUAACGGAUACGAACUUGGAAUGGCUAAAACAAUUGUUUAGCAUUUGGUGCUAAUGAGGCUAGACUCCUGGGUUCUGUCCCCCUGUAGACUGGUUACCUUUACCUGGAUGAAAACUCUGAUCCACAAUUAGGAAGGCCAUCUUGCAGGUGCAAUAAUUGGACACUGGGGACGGGGCAAGAGUUUGUGAAUGGGUCAAGGCAGAUCAACCACCACCACUCCUAGAAAAUAAUUCAAAAGUACAUCUUUUACUGAGAGUAGGUCAUUAACGUACACACCCUUCCGUUUGCCAUCAUACACCCAGCUGUGUCACUGAAUUGAGCGAAAAGCUAAGUCUUAAAUCUCAUCCAAAGCAGAUUGUUGGAAGAAUCGAAAGUUCAUGAGGUGGGGUAGAAAGAACAUAUUACUUUGAUGUGGAUGUGGGGCUUCUGCCAUCGAUGAGUUCGUGUUUGUUACUAUAUACUGGACGUAAUACUAAGUGCCUUCCAUUUUCUCAUUUAAUCUUAAAAAUCCUAUGAUGUAGAUGCUUCUGCAGCUCCAUUUCCUGGACAAGAAAAAGGUAAGCAGGGCACCUGCUAUCCCACGGGUGAACUGGCGUUUGAACCCAAGUCUGUAGAGUUUCCAAACCCGCAGCCUUACCCAUUCUACGAUGCUAUUUCCACACCAGCUACCUUGUGUUUAAGGGAGAGUUGAUUAAUGUCUCCCAGGUCUUGGUUUUCUCUCUUUUAUAAAGGUGAUAAUAAUGCCUGUGCUUCCACGGGAAGGGUACUAGGAUCACGAGAUAAUGUAGAUGCUUUGUAAAAAGUUACACAAGUGUGAAGUAUUAUAAUUCUAACUUUGGCACGAAUCCUAAAGAGAACAUUAGAUAGCAAGACUAUCAUUUAAGUGCAAUGUAGAUAACUGUCAGCAUGUAUCCUGGGCCAGUGUUUCUGAUUUAUUCAUCUGUUCGGUUUUUUUGAACAGGUGUCGAUUGGGCCACUAAGUAAGAGAAAAAGACUUGGCUUUGGGGUCGAUCAGUUUGGAGAUUGUGGGAAUCAACUCUUAACUGUCUCUUGGUUGCUGUCAGAACUUGUCAGACAGAUCACUCAAACUCUCAGAGCCUGAAGGACAACAGCGACUUCAGAGGGCUGUGGCCAGGAUUCAUCAAGAUGAUCUAGGAAAAUUGCGAUGUUCCUGAUGAUCUGGAAAGGCUUUUAAGAUUGGCUUGUUGACACGACACCGUGCAUAUUUGGGCGUCCGGGAUUAUGUAUGAAUUCACGUUUGUGAAUCUCAAGUUUAGCCUGGGAAAUGUAAAUGUAUGGAAGACAUCCUGUUCACACAAAGAAAAUAGCUUCGCAUAUGAUUUCCUUUGGUAAAUAUUUUAAAGAAAGAUGGCAUCAUGUCCUCCGAAAGGUCUCUCUUCUUCAUUUCUCAGAGUGAAUUUCUACUGAGCUCCUUGGAAAAAGAUAAAAAAAGAAAGUGAAAGAAAAUCAUAAAGCGUAUACCCAUUUAAUGUACCAAAUGUCCCAUCCGAGGUUUCAGGGAGGUGUAAAUACUCCUACACUACGCAGCGCAUCCCCAAGAUCUCUGCCCACAGCCAAGGUCAAUGGUGCUGUUAGCAUAUCUGUGUUUUAUUAAGGCAACUAAGUGGAAUUUGUGUGCGU